GUGGAUUUCCUUAGAAUUUCUUGGCACUCCCCCCACCAAACCAUUUUUUAAUCCCUGUUCUGCGGGCCCAGCUUCCCUUGCAAGCCUGAGCACACAUUGCUCCACUAUAAUAAUGACAAUGACAAGAAUAAUCCUGCCUCGGCAAGGUCUUUCUUUAUCCAGGGACCUCAUCAGCAUAGAAGACUGGUGUGAGAACCAAAUGCUGUGUUCCACAGAAAGCUGGGUCUCUUCUUCGACCAAAAGAAGUAAGCGAUCUGGAAAGAGGAAGCUUUGUGCUCCAAGAGGCAAAUUCUCAAAACUUCUGGGAGAUCUGCAGGGCAGUGUCAUCUCCAUUUUACAGCUGAAUAAACUAAGUCGGGUAAGUACGUGUGAAACCGUGCCUGUAGAAGUGGAAGGGUAAGAAGAGAAGAGCAGGUGGCAACUGCAGAGAUGUGUGAUGACGUGAGGUGGACAGGUUCUAACGACACAGGAUGGGGAGCCAUUGGGAGAAC
rnacentral:lncRNA from 1 species